rnacentral:rRNA from 1 species
AUUGAACGCUGGCGGUAUGCUUAACACAUGCAAGUCGAACGGUAGCAUGAGGGUGCAUGCACUCUUGACGACGAGUGGCGGACGGGUGAGUAAAGCAUAAGAAUCUACCCAUUAGUUCGGGAUAGCCUGUGGAAACGCAGGGUAAUACCGGAUGUGGUCUAAGGACUAAAGGUGGCUUUUAGGAGCUGUCGCUAUUGGAUGAGCUUAUGUCGGAUUAGCUAGUUGGUGGGGUAAAGGCCUACAAAGGCGACGAUCCGUAGCUGUUCUGAGAGGAAGAACAGCCACAUUGGGACUGAGACACGGCCCAGACUCCUACGGGAGGCAGCAGUGGGGAAUAUUGGACAAUGAGGGAAACCUUGAUCCAGCAAUACCGCGUGUGUGAAGAAGGCCUGCGGGUUGUAAAGCACUUUCGUUAGGGAAGAAGGUUUAUAGUUUAAGAGAUAAUAAAUUUGACGUUACCUAAAGAAGAAGCACCGGCUAACUCUGUGCCAGCAGCCGCCGUAA